rnacentral:rRNA from 1 species
AUUGAACGCUGGCGGCAGGCUUAACACAUGCAAGUCGAACGAGUGGCGGACGGGUGAGUAAUGCUUGGGAGUCUAGCUUAUGGAGGGGGAUAACUACGGGAAACUGUAGCUAAUACCGCGUACCAUAGGAUGAGCACAAGUGGGAUUAGGUAGUUGGUGAGGUAAAGGCUCACCAAGCCGACGAUCUCUAGCUGGUCUGAGAGGAUGACCAGCCACACUGGGACUGAGACAAGGCCCAGACUCCUACGGGAGGCAGCAGUGGGGAAUAGGGCGCAAUGGGGGCAACCCUGACGCAGCCAUGCCGCGUGUGUGAAGAAGGCCUUCGGGUUGUAAAGCACUUUCAGCGGGGAGGCGUUACCCGCAGAAGAAGCACCGGCUAACUCCGUGCCAGCAGCCGCGGUAAUUC